rnacentral:lncRNA from 1 species
AAUAAAUCAAAACUUUGAAUCAAAACACCAAACUUGUUGUUCUUGGCAAAAAUGUCAAGAACAAUGAAGAACACUCAUGAAAAACUCAAAAAUUUCCAUGAACAUUUUUCACCCAAAAACAUCCCAAAACCAUUCAAACUUAAGGGAAAUAACAUAUAACCAAACUAGGGUACAUAGGGGUUCCAAAAGUCACUUGAAAACAUUUUUAACAAGACAAACAAGAACCCAAAAAUCCACCCUUUGGAUUUGGCCGAAAAUCCCCAAAAACAUGGCACCAAAUUUUAGCUCCAAAAUUCAUGCUCAUAUGAACUACAUCUACAACAUUUGAGAUGGCAAAUUUUCUAACAAAAUUUACAUUCAAAAAAGCAAGAAUAAAGCUUGUAACAUAUUACAACAUUUAAAUCAAAGACUAUGAACUACAAAACCCAAAAGGAUUCACCAACUACUAGACCUAGGCUCUGAUACCACUUGAAGGAAAUAUUGUGAAAAACAUAUUCAUUUGAGCAACAUCUAUAGCAUGCAAUUAACAAUUAAAAGGCGGAAUCAUGCUUGCAUGCACUCAAAAACAAACAUUAACCAUGAAAUUCAAAGCCUAGUAGAUUGGUGAACCUUGACUCAACUUAAAACAACAUUUGUUAGUUGAGAAAUUAUACCUUUGUAGAUUCCUCUUUGCAUAAGCAAAGGCUAAUCACCCAAAGAGAGGGCCUUUAUUCCUUGCAUCUUAGAUCUAUGGAUUUGGAUGGAUGAAAUGGUUCUCCAAGUUCCCAAAAUUGAGAACCUCUAAGUGUCUUCACCAAGGUUAGAUUGGAGAAGAAAUGAGUGACCUUGGAGUAGUAGGAUUGCUAGCUAAACCCUCCAAGGAGGCCGGCCACUUUAGAGAGAAAGGAGAGCUUAUGUUCUCAUCCUUUCCCCAAAAGAAAACCUAAAUGAAUUUUGGCUAUAAAGUCAUAUUUAUACCUUAAUUCAUUGGAGUGGCAAACUUGUAAAUAAGUCCAAAACUCACUCCAUCUCUAAAUGGCCGGCCUUAGGGUAUUAUUGGGCUAAUUGGGCCUUUCUGAAUCAUUAUUCAUUAAGUUGUCAUACAACUUAAGUCAAUGGGCUUGACGUUCGAAGCCCAUUCGGCCUUCAGGUCCAAAACUAUCCCGAGGUCUUUAACG